rnacentral:rRNA from 1 species
UACGUAGGGUGCAAGCGUUAAUCGGAAUUACUGGGCGUAAAGCGUGCGCAGGCGGUUUGGCAAGACAGAUGUGAAAUCCCCGGGCUCAACCUGGGAACUGCAUUUGUGACUGCACGGCUAGAGUGUGUCAGAGGGGGGUAGAAUUCCACGUGUAGCAGUGAAAUGCGUAGAGAUGUGGAGGAACACCGAUGGCGAAGGCAGCCCCCUGGGUUAACACUGACGCUCAGGCACGAAAGCGUGGGGAGCAAACAGG